AGGAGCAGCAAGGGAGGAAGGAGAGGCAGCGAGAUAGGAGCAUACCCCGCAACCGAAUGGAAUCACCGAGCAAGAUUAAGCAAUGGGCGGAGGUGUGUUGAUCAGAGUCGAUGCUACUUAAGUAAAUAAGUGUGGAUCUCUCGACGCUUCGUGUCUUCAUACGCGAAGUCAUUCUGUGGACUUUUUCCGUUGGAGUUUGUUAAGAGAGAAUAGUGACUCUCAUCAUCGAAACUCUGAUUCAUUUUGAUGAAACUAUUGUUAUUUAAAUCCAUGUAAUCGAAUACUUGGAUCAUAUCUUAUGAUAUUGUUUGACUUUUCAAUG